rnacentral:rRNA from 1 species
UACGGAGGAUGCGAGCGUUAUCCGGAUUUAUUGGGUUUAAAGGGUGCGCAGGCGGCACGGCAAGCCGGCGGUCAAAUCGCGGGGCUCAACCCCGCCCAGCAGUCGGAACUGCCGGGCUAGAGUGGGCGAGAAGUGCGCGGAAUGCGUGGUGUAGCGGUGAAAUGCAUAGAUAUCACGCAGAACUCCGAUUGCGAAGGCAGCGUACCGGCGCCCUACUGACGCUGAAGCACGAAGGCGUGGGUAUCGAACAGG